rnacentral:lncRNA from 1 species
UAUAUAGUAUUUUAUUUUUAUAUAGAGAUAUUAUUAUAUAAUAUUUUAUUUAUAAAUUUAUAAUUAUUUAUUAAUAUUUAUAAUUAUUAUGUAUUAUGUUUAUUAUAAUUUUAAAUAUAUUUAAUCUAUAUAUAGAAAUUAUAAUAAUAUAUAUAGUAUAUUAAUUAUUAUAUAUUAUAAAUAUAUAUAAUAAAAAUAUAUUAAAUAAUUUUUUAUCUAUAUUUUUUUUUUCUUUCAACCAAACAACCGUUACGGAAAACUAUUUUUCUUUUCUUACAAAUCAAACACUAAACGAUAUAAAACUUUUUUUCCACUGAAAUUUUUUUUUCCACAGUUUUACGUGAAACCAAACACACCCUAAGUUGAACAAA